rnacentral:rRNA from 1 species
AUUGAACGCUGGCGGCAGGCCUAACACAUGCAAGUCGAGCGGACGGACGGGGCUUGCUCCUGGCUGCCGUGGCCGACGGGCGGGUGAUUACCACGUAUAUAACCUGCCUAUAGGGCUAACGUAACGACGCGAGACCUAAUCUAACAUCCGUCAUUAGAGAGAAAGUGGGGGAUCUUUAGACAUAGAGCUUUUUGCUGAGCCUAGGUCGGAUUAGCUAGUUGGUUGGGUAAAGGCGUACCAAGGCGACGAUCCGUAACUGGUCUGAGAGGAUGAUCAGUCACACUGGAACUGAGACACGGUCCAGACUCCUACGGGAGGCAGCAGUGGGGAAUAUUGGACAAUGGGCGAAAGCCUGAUCCAGCCAUGCCGCGUGUGUGAAGAAGGUCUUCGGAUUGUAAAGCACUGUAAGUAGGGAGGAAGAGAAGUAAGUUUAUACCUGGCUGUUUUGACGGUACCUACAGAAUAAGCACCGGCUAACUUCGUG